ACGGAGGGUGCAAGCGUUAUUCGGAAUUAUUGGGCGUAAAGCGCGUGCAGGCGGCCGAGCAAGUCUGAUGUGAAAGCCCCGGGCUCAACCCGGGAAGUGCAUUGGAAACUGCUAGGCUUGAGUACUGGAGAGGAAGGGGGAAUUCCCGGUGUAGAGGUGUUAUUCGUAGAGAUCGGGAGGAAUACCAGUGGCGAAGGCGCCCUUCUGGACGGUAACUGACGCUGAGACGCGAAAGCGUUGGGAGCAAACAG
rnacentral:rRNA from 1 species